rnacentral:lncRNA from 1 species
UUGGCUCUAAAUACAGUUUGUUUCUUUGUUCGACUAUUUCUUUGUUUGGUAAUAAGCAAAGUUCAUUUUUACAGCAAACACAGUGACCAUCCACAAUGCCAAGCAACAUAGCAAUAACAAAGAGUAGAUAUGCCAAGCUUUUUCUUUCCCUGCCCUUCUCCAAUGCCUGAGAUAAUCACUAUUCCUAAGACCAAGUGGAAGUCUAUGAAUAGAUGGAUGUCAGUGUCCAACUGAGAUAGCCAUGUUGGCUCUGAAGCGAGCAGGUUGGCUCGCGGAAGGGGGAGAAGGAAGAAAUAGAAAGAAAGAAGAGGGAGGAGGAGGGAAGAGUUUUUGAAGACUAGCGAGGGGUGGGGGUCUUGGAGUCCAAUUGCAGGAUGAGGCCAUUGAAGGGCAGGGAGGUAACGGAAAAGGGAAGGAGGGAAGGAGGGAGCGGGUCUUAACGCAGGCAGAGCACACCGGGUACCGCCGCGUAUUCUACAAAUAUAGAAGCCAGGGGAGGGGAGUUGGGGGGCUUUUAUCUUUCUUUCUUUCUCUCUCUCUCACUCUCAUUCUUUCUUUUUGGCCCCCUAUUUAGCCCGAGGAAGGAAGGAAGG